GCCGGAGGAGGCAAUCGUUAUCCGGAAUUAUUGGGCGUAAAGGGUACGUAGGCGGCUGGUCAAGUCUGGGGUCAAAGGCCACAGCUCAACUGUGGGAAGGCCCUGGAAACUGACCGGCUAGAGUGAGGUAGGGGUUGCGGGAAUUCCCGGUGUAGCGGUGAGAUGCGUAGAGAUCGGGAAGAACACCUGAGGCGGAAGCGCGCAACUGGGCCUCAACUGACGCUGAGGUACGAAAGCUAGGGGAGCGAAUGGG
rnacentral:rRNA from 1 species